rnacentral:lncRNA from 1 species
CUACUGCCUGGAAGAGUGAUUUCUUACCUCUCCUUUGGGUCCUGGAUAGCUUCGGUGACUGGACUUCUCAUCCUUCUGCUUCUGUCCUUAGUUACAAUCAAAAUUGGGGACAAGCACUACCGUGAAAAGGUCCGGUCUCGUACUAAAACAGACUUUUUGCAUAUGCAGAGAAAGGCUUCCUUUGCGCUAGAAUCAGAUGCGCUCGCCCAGCGAGAAAGGCCCUUUCCUGCCAACCAAGUAUGAAUCAAAAAGAAAGAAGAGAACGAAAGGAGAAGAUAACUUCGUAUUUUGGUAAUUCUCUAGGAGUCAUGUUUAACCUUGAAUGCUAUUAAUAAAUUCUACAGCAA